UACCUGGGAGAAGAGGCCGACCCCCACCUUGUCACAACCUCCUUUCAGGAGCUGUAGAGAGCGAUAAGGUCUCCUCUUCUCCAGACUGAACAAUCCCAGUUCCCUUAGCUGCUCCCCAUAAGACUUAUGCUCCAAACCAUCACAGCUAUGUUGCCUCAACGUCUUUCUUUUAGUGAGGGGCCCAAAACUGAACACAGCACUCAAGGUACAGCCUCACCAGGGCUGAAUAGAGAGGGAUCAUCACCUCCCUGCUCCUACUGGCAACACUAUUUCUGAUAUAAGCCAGGAUGCUAUUGGCUCUCUUGGCUGCCUGGGCACACUGCUGGCUCAUGUUUAGCAAAGUGUUGACCAAAACCCCCAGAUCCUUUUCUUCCACAGAGUCUUUCAACCACUCUGCCCUGAGCCUGUAGCACUGCCUGGGGUUGUUGUGGCCAAAGUGCAAGACCUGGCACUUGGUCUUCUUGAACUUCAUCCCACUGACCUCAGCCCAACCAUUCAGCCUGUCCAGAGUCUCAUUUAAUUCCUGUAGUAAAGGUAUGUAAAAUUCACUUUGCAAUGUGUACGGUAGUUAAAGGUCUGGGGAGAUGAAUUGUCUUGUUGAUGCAGAAAAUAUGGAAUAGAUUACCAUACUCCCAUGAAGUGCAGGUCUUGAGUAGAUGUAGUGACAGGGUUUGGGGUUUUUUGAAGUGGUGGAGGAAGUGCAGUACUUGAAGAUUUUCAAGAUGUAGGUUCUAGCAGGGCAAGGUGAUCUUGGUGAAUUGAUACUGCAUGGGUUGAGCCCUCCUGUAGCUUUUGCUGGUUUAAUUCUUCUGUAAAAGCAGGUCAGGCAGUUGUUUGAAAUACAUUAAUAUGUGAAAGAGGCUGACAAGAUACUGGCCUGCUGCUGGAAAAUGGCAACUAAUUUCAUGAGUUUUCUCUCUUCUUUCUUUUCUCUACCCUGUAAUGCUGGGUGGGGGAGUGAGUAAGCAGCUGUGUGGGUGCUUAAGCUGCUGGCCAAGGUCAACCCACCACUCAACCAUUCACUUACAAAAAGCUUCUGUUUAAGCAUCGGUACUUGGAAGAAAGAACAUGGUUCAGGAGUUCGUUCCUCAGGAAGAUGCUCUUCUGUGUAUCACCAUGAGCUAAGUUCCUUCCAGCAUGUGCCCUCCCAGGCACGGCUUCUGGUCAUCAUCUGCAGCAGGUUAUCAUCCAUGUUCUGGUACAUCAGGGAACAGCAUUCUUCAGUAUUUACCUUGAGACCUACUGGCUGCUUUGUGUCAGCAUGUGGUGUGUAGCCCAUUUCUGUUAUUACUGAUCUCACCUUGGUGUUACUGCUGCAGUUGUGGCUUGAAGUUUUCAAUGCUCUGCGUGCUGUUAGCAGGAGCUCCUGGCAUGGUAGGCACUGACUUGUGGUCAUCAUGCAUGGAUACAUCUUUCUACACCUUUUUUUUUCCAGACUGAUUGUAAAAGCAAUGCAGAUAAAGCAAAAAAAAAAAAAAGUUGAAUAUUCCAGUGGGAGGGUUUGGUGCCAUCAGUUCAGCAGGGAGCCAGGAGCUUGGGAAGAUGCACUAAAGCAAGAAGCGAAAGCUGCUGCAGGACAAGACAGAGCACUUCCUCGUUAACCCCACUUAAUUGUAGUUGUUGCUCACGAGUACGAAACCACUGAAACACCUCAUCCAGGAAGUGGAAAUGAACACGCUCUGAGUGCGGUUUUGAUUUGAUGGGUAAAUAGCAGAGGGAGGGUGGGGGUGACUGGUGUGAAAGUGAGUGGCAUAGCCUGACCCAGGGCGUGCAGAGGCCACGUUUCUGUCACUGCUGCCAGGCUGACACCAGCGCCAGCCCCAUCUGAGGCCCCCAGUGAGGCACGAACGUGAUGGUAAAGAAGAACCCAGAGGCCAAUAUAUUAAGCAUACUUAUUUACUUAAUCUAUACAGAAUCGAGUAGAUAAAAUUUCAGAUUCACAUUAGUGAAAAAUCUCUACAAAAUGUUUUUGAAAAGCAAAACAAAGACUGCCUGUUCAUUUAUCAUUUUUUCCUCAUGAAAGCAGACAUGGGUUGUAAAAAUAAAGCAGUGUGUUUAGCACAAAC